GUUUUUUUCUCUUGGUCUGACAGUAUCUUCAGUUCUCCAUGGAUUUUUGCCACUUGAUCUUAUGGCCUACUACGUGAUCAUACCAUUUAACCAAACUGCUAAGCUUCAUUUGCUAAGACAUCGCCACUUGUCCCCUGGAGGAGGGAGAAAAAGGCCUAUGAGUAAAGAGAUACCAAUUCUGCCCCCAGUGAGAACCACUGUGCUACAUGAAUAGAGAAAAUUGCUCUUCGAACACGAGCAAGAAAAGUUGCAAGCAUACACACAACGGAAAAACAGCACUGAAAGGAAGAUGUGAAGAAAUAUACUUAGAGCAUUUUUCAUAUUCCAUUUAAUUCAUAAAAGAGGUAAGAGCAUAUUUCACCUCCUCACCCCAAAUGAAGAUUUUUUUUAAAAUGUGAAAACCUGUAGUAUAAUUUUAAGACUGAUUUUUCACACAAGCCUUUGGAAAUAGGUUAGCUUUUUACAAGAACAUCACAUCACAUUAGUGUUAUCUUGGUUUUAGUAUUAUGCUAUUUUUUUUCUGGAUAAAUAAGGACUUAACACCAGCAUUUUUUUAUUUGCUUUGGUUCACAAAAAAAUAUGAUUAGGAACACACACACCCACACACACACCCACCCACCCAACCCCACACACAUAUUCACACAUACCAAAAUCCUCAUUCAUUUCUUAAUGAAAUUAUAUUAACUCCUUAAUUUAACCCUGUGAUGGGAUCCAGGGGAUAGAUACUAAUUAAAUAAAAUCAGCUCUAUGGCCAACAGUGUUAUGAUGAAACAUGAGCAAAUUACUAUAUACUUUCAAUUGGCAUGGUCUUUUAGAAAAAUCCUCCUAUUUUAGGUGACUAUUUUCAGACAGGCUUUCUGACAUCACAAUAUGGCGGCCUACAGCAAUUGAGGCACCAUAUCGCAGGUUAUGAACAAGGCCAAAAAUAUAUUUUCCCUCAACCUUAGAAUACAAGUCUUGGGCUUCACUGUGAUUGGAUAACUUAAGUCAAGUGUCAGUCUCUCAACCAUUCCCUUUGGCUAGGACUAGGGAUUUUGCUGAUUGGCUUAGACCCAAAUGGAGACUUGAGCCCUACUAAGCCCAACCCUGGAACAUAAAGACUCCCUAAGGUAAUGGAGUCCUAGAGAAAAUAAUGGAAUAAAAAUGUAAUGAAAUCAAGACUGAGUUACCUAUGUUCACUAUUUUGGUGAUGGGUUCACCAAAAGCCCAAACCUCAGCAUGGCUCAAUAUUCCCAUUAACAAACCUGUACAUGUACAUCCUGAAUCUGAC
rnacentral:lncRNA from 1 species